AGCAACGCCGCGUGAGUGAUGAAGGUUUUCGGAUCGUAAAACUCUGUUGUUAGGGAAGAACAAGUACCGUUCGAAUAGGGCGGUACCUUGACGGUACCUAACCAAAAAGCCACGGCUAACUACGUGCCAGCAGCCGCGGUAAUACGUAGGUGGCAAGCGUUGUCCGGAAUUAUUGGGCGUAAAGCGCGCGCAGGCGGUUUCUUAAGUCUGAUGUGAAAGCCCCCGGCUCAACCGGGGAGGGUCAUUGGAAACUGGGGAACUUGAGUGCAAAAAAGGAAAGUGGAAUUCCACGUGUAGCGGUGAAAUGCGUAAAGAUGUGGAGGAACACCAGUGGCGAAGGCGACUCUCUGUCUGUAACUGACGCUGAGGCGCGAAAGCGUGGGGAGCGAACAGGAUUAGAUACCCUGGUAGUCCACGCCGUAAACGAUGAGUGCUAAGUGUUAGAGGGUUUCCGCCCUUUAGUGCUGCAGCAAACGCAUUAAGCACUCCGCCU
rnacentral:rRNA from 1 species